UACGUAGGGUGCAAGCGUUGUCCGGAAUUAUUUGGGCGUAAAGAGCUCGUAGGCGGUUCGGCAAGUCGGAUGUGAAAUCUCCACGCUCAACGUGGAGGGGCCAUUCGAAACUGCCGUGACUCGAGUCCGGUAGGGGAGUGUGGAAUUCCCGGUGUAGCGGUGAAAUGCGCAGAUAUCGGGGGGAACACCAGUAGCGAAGGCGGCACUCUGGGCCGGUACUGACGCUGAGGAGCGAAAGCGUGGGGAGCAAACAGG
rnacentral:rRNA from 1 species